CACCCUAAUUGGUGAAGUGGAGGUGGAACUUGAGCAUGCUUUGCUGUUGAACUUGAGAUGCAACAGGAUUCCGGUCGAGGAGAUUCGACAACCAAUCAUUGGCUCAAAAGGUCUAUAAAAGGCCAAAAGUUGGCAACGUGCAGUGGUUGGCUUGUUGCGGGUGGUAACAUGCUGUGACAGCUGAGAUUCAAGGUAAGGAGUGCUUGGUUUUUCUCUUCUUGGGCUACAUUGCUACAAACCUGCAAUGCUAAUAUCGUGUUGUGCUGAUUAGUUUCAUGAUCCAAGUUCAUAACAAUAAUAACCGAAGCCUUACUCACUAGCUGAAUUCGGUUAUAUUGAUCACACAAUGUCAUUUAAUUGGAUUAAAGACUAAACAUUUAGAAAUAUUAUUCAGUAUAAGGUUUCUCUUAACAACUUCCUCAAAUAUCAUUAUUGGUCUCCCUUUCCCUUUUUCAUAUGGUGAGGAUACUGAAGCACUGUCAUGGAAGAAAAGGGUAGAGAUAUGCAUAGGAGCCGCAAGUGGACUACACUACCUUUAUGUCAAAGCCAAAGCUGAACUUGAGGAUAAUUUUUUAAAUUAUUUUAUGAGCUUAUUGAAAUAGAUUUUUAUCAGUUAAAAUUAGCUAAUACUUGCACUUAUAGGUAUCAUGGGGUACAGCAGAGAAUUUCAUAGAUAUCAUCCAAAGAUGCCAGAAAACACCGGAAAGAUUUACAUCAAUGGAUCACGAGCCACCACAUAA
rnacentral:lncRNA from 1 species